CUACGGGUGGCAGCAGUAGGGAAUAUUGGUCAAUGGACGCAAGUCUGAACCAGCCAUGCCGCGUGCAGGAUGACGGCCCUCUGGGUUGUAAACUGCUUUUAUAUGGGAAGAAACCCCGGGAUGCGUUCCGGGCUGACGGUACCAUACGAAUAAGGAUCGGCUAACUUCGUGCCAGCAGCCGCGGUAAGACGAAGGAUCCAAGCGUUGUCCGGAUUUACUGGGUUUAAAGGGUGCGUAGGCGGAUGCUUAAGCCAGUGGUGAAAUCUCUCAGCUCAACUGAGAAACUGCCAUUGGAACUGGGCAUCUUGAAUUCGAUUGAGGUAGAUGGAAUAUAACAUGUAGCGGUGAAAUGCUUAGAUAUGUUAUGGAAUACCGAUUGCGAAGGCAGUCUACUAAGUCGAUAUUGACGCUGAGGCACGAAAGCGUGGGUAGCGAACAGGAUUAGAUACCCCCGUAGUC
rnacentral:rRNA from 1 species